UUGGGAAUUUUGGGCAAUGGACGAAAGUCUGACCCAGCAACGCCGCGUGAGGGAUGAAGGUCUUCGGAUUGUAAACCUCUGUUGAGUGGGAAAAAAAGCUUUGGAGCUAAUCUGCCAGAGCCUGAUGGUACCAUUCGAGGAAGCACCGGCUAACUACGUGCCAGCAGCCGCGGUAAUACGUAGGGUGCAAGCGUUGUUCGGAAUUACUGGGCGUAAAGGGAGCGUAGGCGGAACUGUAAGUUAGGAGUUUAAUUCAUGGGCUUAACCCAUGGCCUGCUUUUAAUACUGCAGUUCUUGAGUAUGGGAGAGGAUAAUGGAAUUCCAGGUGUAGCGGUGGAAUGCGUAGAUAUCUGGAAGAACACCAGUAGCGAAGGCGGUUAUCUGGCCCAAUACUGACGCUGAGGCUCGAAAGCUAGGGGAGCAAACAGG
rnacentral:rRNA from 1 species